UGGAAUAAAAAUAAAAAUAAAUAAAAGUAGUGUGAGAAACUAUUUUUAUUGGAUUUAGAAAAAUAAAACAUAAGUCAGAAGUGACUUAUGCUGAAAUCGGAAUGAAAACAGAAGAUUUAAAAUUUUCUGUUAGAAACGGGACAGAUAAAUUAGCAGAAAAUGCACAGUGUCAGAAAAUUAUGAAAACUGGAGGAUAAGCCAGAAUCAUUUUUAUGAAGCUAGAUUUAAAGUUCUAUAUCAUUCUGACAACCGGAAGGUGGAAAAUAAAAUCCGACAGGUAUCUGAUAAAGAUUGCAGUUCGGUAUAGCUUUCGGUGACCUAACGGGGUCGAAUUGAAAUAUUAAAAUUUUUUUGGAAUCGUUAAGUAAAAUCGAAUAUGACUGUCAAAUUUGGGCUCAAACGGAUAUUCAGUGAGCUCCGGCGAAAGAUAUCCGAUUUCGAACUGUCCGGAGAUAAAUAGUAUUGUGAGGGUGUUAAUUAAA
rnacentral:lncRNA from 1 species